rnacentral:rRNA from 1 species
GACGAACCGUGCGAACGUUGUUCGGAAUCACUGGGCCUAAAGGGCGCGUAGGCGGCUUAUCAAGUCAGGGGUGAAAUCCGGCAGCUUAACUGUCGAAGUGCCCUUGAUACUGACGAGCUCGAGGGAGAUAGGGGUGUGUGGAACUUCCGGUGGAGCGGUGAAAUGCGUUGAUAUCGGAAGGAACGCCGGUGGCGAAAGCGACACACUGGAUCUCUUCUGACGCUGAGGCGCGAAAGCCAGGGGAGCAAACGGG